rnacentral:rRNA from 1 species
AUGCCCUUCACUACGGAAUAGCCUCGGGAAACUGAGAGUAAUACCGUAUACGCCCUUUGGGGAAAGAUUUAUCGGUGAAGGAUUAGCCCGCGUCUGAUUAGAUAGUUGGUGGGGUAACGGCCUACCAAGUCGACGAUCAGUAGCUGGUUUGAGAGGAUGAUCAGCAACACUGGGACUGAGACACGGCCCAGACUCCUACGGGAGGCAGCAGUGGGGAAUCUUAGACAAUGGGCGCAAGUGAUCUAGCCAUGCCGCGUGAGUGACGAAGGCCUUAGGGUCGUAAAGCUCUUUCGCCAGGGAUGAUAAUGACAGUACCUGGUAAAGAAACCCCGGCUAACUCCGUGCCAGCAGCCGCGGUAAUACGGAGGGGGUUAGCGUUGUUCGGAAUUACUGGGCGUAAAGCGUACGUAGGCGGAUCAGAAAGUUGGGGGUGAAAUCCCGGGGCUCAACCCCGAACUGCCUCCAAAACUCCUGGUCUAGAGUUCGAGAGAGGUGAGUGGAAUUCCGAGUGUAGAGGUGAAAUUCGUAGAUAUUCGGAGGAACACCAGUGGCGAAGGGGCUCACUGGCUCGAUACUGACGCUGAGGUACGAAAGUGUGGGGAGCAAACAGGAUUAGAUACCCUGGUAGUCCACACCGUAAACGAUGAAUGCCAGUCGUCGGGUAGCAUGCUAUUCGGUGACACACCUAACGGAUUAAGCAUUCCGCCUGGGGAGUACGGUCGCAAGAUUAAAACUCAAAGAAAUUGACGGGGG